CAAUUUAGUGAAGUUUUUGGUACAAUUUUUAAGGGAUGUGUGUAGACUAGUACGAAAAAAUUUAUAAUGUUUUUGAAGUUGGUGGGUUCACUCGAUUCCUUUUACCACACUCUUCCUCCAACUUUGGAACAAUCCAGCCGUCCAACCCAGGGAAAUCGCAUUAACAAUUCAAUUUCAUCAGUUUGAAAAAUUCCAGUGUGCUUUCAACUGAAUAUAAAUGCACUCCUUGUUUUUCUCAACAUUUUGAUGGAAUAGCACAUUGGAUGCACACUAAUAUAAUCUGCAUCUCAACGUUUUUUUUUUUUUCUUUUGGAGCAACCUUGGAGAUUCCUUAUAACGUAUUCUAUGUUGUAUUGAAGACUAUCUCAAGACUCAAAAAACUUACACUUUGCGGUUGUAAACAUGCUCCAGAUCAAGAAUGGUUCCGCUAUGACAGGCAUCAACAAUGGCAUGAAGCUUGACACCUUUUUUGAGUGGCUUGACAAUGGUGGUGUAGAUAUCAUUAUCAAAAAUCAUGCCAGCUGUCAUAAAAUCCGAAGGACAGAUAGUUUCAUCGUACCCAUCAAUCUCGUCUUGACUAAAAUCAGGUUGUCGUAUUCCAUGCCCUGAAAAGUAAAAGACCAAGGAGUCCCCUGACUUGCAGUCCUCCACAAGCCAGCUCAAGGCCUUUUGUAUGUUCUUCUUUGUUGGAGAAAGAAGAAGAGCAAUAAUGAAAGAAAAAUAUGGAGAGCUUAUUGGAAUGUGCUUCCAACCAAAAAGCUAAUGAAUUGGGAUUACAACUUGCUAGUUUUGGUACUUAUAAACCCCUCUCCAGGUAAAGAUUGAUGCAGUGACCUUAUUAAUCUGUGGUCAUACUCUCACAAUAACGUGGGGCAUUGUGAUUUCUCGCAGCUGUCAACCUCAUCUUAUCAAAGUCGCGCAGUUCUAAUCCAUGGCCUGAGAAGUAAAAAUCAAUGAGUCCCCUUAUUGGCAGGCCUAGAUGUGCCAAUGCAAGGCCAUUCAAAUGUUAUGCCUAGUUGGUAUCAAGCAUGAAGCUCCUCAGAAAAUUGCUGCUGAUGAUGAACUUUACCUAAUAUUCAACGGGAAAUUCCUUUGAAUCAAAAAGCAGUUUU